rnacentral:rRNA from 2 species
UUGCCCCGAGAUGAGUUCUCCCUGAGACUUUAGGUCUCCUGAAGGAACGUUGAAGACGACGACGUUGAUAGGCCGGGUGUGUAAGCGCAGCGAUGCGUUGAGCUAACCGGUACUAAUGAACCGUGAGGCUUAACCUUACAACGCCGAAG